UACGGAGGAUGCGAGCGUUAUCCGGAUUUAUUGGGUUUAAAGGGUGCGCAGGCGGAUUUUUAAGUCAGCGGUCAAAUCGUGGGGCUCAACCCCAUCCAGCCGUUGAAACUGGGGAUCUAGAGUGUGCGAGAGGUAUGCGGAAUGCGUGGUGUAGCGGUGAAAUGCAUAGAUAUUACGCAGAACCCCGAUUGCGAAGGCAGCAUACCGGUGCACAACUGACGCUCAGGCACGAAAGCGUGGGUAUCGAACAGG
rnacentral:rRNA from 1 species